rnacentral:rRNA from 1 species
GACGAACGCUGGCGGCGUGCUUAACACAUGCAAGUCGAACGGAAAGGCCCUGCUUUUGUGGGGUGCUCGAGUGGCGAACGGGUGAGUAACACGUGAGUAACCUGCCCUUGACUUUGGGAUAACUUCAGGAAACUGGGGCUAAUACCGGAUAGGAGCUCCUGCUGCAUGGUGGGGGUUGGAAAGUUUCGGCGGAUGGGGAUGGACGCGCGGCUUAUCAGCUUGUUGGUGGGGUAGUGGCUUACCAAGGCUUUGACGGGUAGCCGGCCUGAGAGGGUGACCGGCCACAUUGGGACUGAGAGACGGCCCAGACUCCUACGGGAGGCAGCAGUGGGGAAUAUUGCACAAUGGGCGGAAGCCUGAUGCAGCAACGCCGCGUGCGGGAUGACGGCCUUCGGGUUGUAAACCGCUUUCGCCUGAGACGAAGCGUGAGUGACGGUAAUGGGUAAAGAAGCACCGGCUAACUACGUG